rnacentral:rRNA from 1 species
GGCUUAGAGUUUGAUCAUGGCUCAGGAUGAACGCUAGCUACAGGCUUAACACAUGCAAGUCGAGGGGCAGCAUUUUAGUUUGCUUGCAAACUGAAGAUGGCGACCGGCGCACGGGUGAGUAACACGUAUCCAACCUGCCGAUAACUCCGGAAUAGCCUUUCGAAAGAAAGAUUAAUACCCGAUGGCAUAGUUCUUCCGCAUGGUGGAACUAUUAAAGAAUUUCGGUCAUCGAUGGGGAUGCGUUCCAUUAGGUUGUUGGCGGGGUAACGGCCCACCAAGCCUUCGACGGAUAGGGGUUCUGAGAGGAAGGUCCCCCACAUUGGAACUGAGACACGGUCCAAACUCCUACGGGAGGCAGCAGUGAGGAAUAUUGGUCAAUGGACGAGAGUCUGAACCAGCCAAGUAGCGUGAAGGAUGACUGCCCUAUGGGUUGUAAACUUCUUUUAUACGGGAAUAAAGUGAGGCACGUGUGCCUUUUUGUAUGUACCGUAUGAAUAAGGAUCGGCUAACUCCGUGCCAGCAGCCGCGGUAAUACGGAGGACNCGAGCGUUAUCCGGAUUUAUUGGGUUUAAAGGGAGCGUAGGUGGACUGGUAAGUCAGUUGUGAAAGUUUGCGGCUCAACCGUAAAAUUGCAGUUGAUACUGUCAGUCUUGAGUACAGUAGAGGUGGGCGGAAUUCGUGGUGUAGCGGUGAGAUGCUUAGAUAUCACGAAGAACUCCGAUUGCGAAGCAGCUCACUGGACUGCAACUGACACUGAUGCUCGAAAGUGUGGGUAUCAAACAGGAUUAGAUACCCUGGUAGUCCACACAGUAAACGAUGAAUACUCGCUGUUUGCGAUAUACAGUAAGCGGCCAAGCGAAAGCAUUAAGUAUUC